ensembl:misc_RNA 7SK 7SK RNA
GGAUGUGAAGGCAAUCUGGCUGUGACAUCUGUCACCCCAUUGAUCACAAGGGUUGAUUUGGCUGAUCUGGCUGGCUAGGCAAGUUUCCCCUUCCUUCCUAACUGCUCCAUGUGCAUUGAAAAUAGCCUUGCUUGAAUCGAGACGGACCGGUCUUCAUUGGAGGGUAUACAAGUAGCUGCGCUCCCCUGCUAGAACCUCCAAACAAGUUCUUCAAGAUAUACUACAGAACAAUUUGUUUAAUAAUCAGGAACCUAAAGGCAAAAAAUAUAGCAGAUGAGAUUCGGGAGGGUCUUCAUUU